UACUUGAAGUUCCCUGACCCUCUCGUACAAAUCCAGUGCGUCCAUCAUCAUUUUGAGGACUUCAGUAUGCGUUUGCAGUAUGAGGAAGAUAACUUCUGGAAUUUAUUAUGGCUGAAUGAAUCAACUGAAGCCAUCUCGUGGGAAUAGGAGAGGUCUGGAAGCUCAGAAUAUGCUGUGAUUCUGAAUAUAUAUCCUGACUCUUCAGGCAAGAAAAGCAAGAUGCAAGAAAAAUAGAAAUAUGACCCUAAAAAUCCAGCCUGCGGUGACUUGGAAUGGAAUGUGAAAAUCUGGUCAAAUGCAGACUACUGAAGCACUAGUUGCUUU